rnacentral:rRNA from 1 species
UACGUAGGGCGCAAGCGUUAUCCGGAAUUAUUGGGCGUAAAGGGCUCGUAGGCGGUCUGUCGCGUCGGGAGUGAAAACUCAGGGCUUAACCCUGAGCCUGCUUCCGAUACGGGCAGACUAGAGGUAUGCAGGGGAGAACGGAAUUCCUGGUGUAGCGGUGGAAUGCGCAGAUAUCAGGAGGAACACCGGUGGCGAAGGCGGUUCUCUGGGCAUUACCUGACGCUGAGGAGCGAAAGUGUGGGGAGCGAACAGG